GAGUUUGAUCUUGGCUCAGAACGAACGCUGGCGGCAGGCUUAACACAUGCAAGUCGAACGGUUGUAGCAAUACAGCAGUGGCGCACGGGUGAGUAACACGUGGAUAUCUGCCUUUUGGUUCGGAAUAACCCUGGGAAACUAGGGCUAAUACCGAAUGGUUCCUACGGGAUAAAGAUUUAUCGCCAAAAGAUGAGUCCGCGUCCGAUUAGCUAGUUGGUGAGGUAAUGGCUCACCAAGGCGACGAUCGGUAGCUGGUCUGAGAGGACGAUCAGCCACACUGGGACUGAGACACGGCCCAGACUCCUACGGGAGGCAGCAGUGGGGAAUAUUGGACAAUGGGGGCAACCCUGAUCCAGCCAUGCCGCGUGAGUGAUGAAGGCC
rnacentral:rRNA from 1 species